rnacentral:rRNA from 1 species
UACGUAGGCAGCAAGCGUUGUUCGGAGUUACUGGGCGUAAAGAGUGCGUAGGCGGUCCUGUAAGUUUGGUGUGAAAUCUCCCGGCUCAACUGGGAGGGUGCGCCGAAGACUGCAGGGCUUGAGUAUGGGAGAGGUAAGCGGAAUUCCUGGUGUAGCGGUGAAAUGCGUAGAUAUCAGGAGGAACACCUGUGGCGUAGACAGCUUACUGGACCAUAACUGACGCUGAGGCACGAAAGCGUGGGUAGCAAACAGG